rnacentral:rRNA from 1 species
AACGUAGGACGCAAGCGUUAUCCGGAGUUACUGGGCGUAAAGCGCGGGCAGGCGGUCGGUCAAGUCUGAUGUGAAAUCUCUCCGCUCAACGGGGAGCAGCCAUUGGAAACUGGGCGACUGGAGUCUGACAGAGGUAGGCGGAAUUCCGGGUGGAGUGGUGAAAUGCGUAGGGAUCCGGAGGAACACCAGAGGCGAAGGCGGCCUACUGGGUCAGUACUGACGCUGAGGCGCGAAAGCGUGGGGAGCAAACGGG